rnacentral:rRNA from 1 species
GACGAACCGAGCGAACGUUGUUCGGAAUCACUGGGCUUAAAGGGCGCGUAGGCGGCCUGUUAAGUCGAACGUGAAAUCCCCGGGCUCAACCCGGGAACUGCGUCCGAUACUGGCAGGCUUGAAUUCGGGAGAGGGAUGCGGAAUUCCAGGUGUAGUCGGUGAAUGACGUAGAAUAUCUGGAGGAACACCGGUGGCGAAGGCGGCAUCCUGGACCGAGAUUGACGCUGAGGCGCGAAAGCUAGGGGAGCAAACGGG